rfam:Streptomyces sp. ERV7 Contig_2, whole genome shotgun sequence.
CGCCCAGUCCGAGGCUCCGGUGCUCACCGGGGCCUGGUGCAAGAGGGA